rnacentral:rRNA from 1 species
CAGCCGCCACGGGAAUACGAAGGGUGCAAGCGUUAAUCGGAAUUACUGGGCGUAAAGCGUGCGUAGGCGGUAAGUUAAGUCUGCUGUGAAAUCCCCGGGCUCAACCUGGGAAUGGCAGUGGAUACUGGCUCGCUAGAGUGUGUCAGAGGAUGGUGGAAUUCCCGGUGUAGCGGUGAAAUGCGUAGAGAUCGGGAGGAACAUCAGUAGCGAAGGCGGCCAUCUGGGACAACACUGAUGCUGAGGCACGAAAGCGUGGGGAGCAAACAGGAUUAGAUACCCCUGUAGUCCCUGUCUCUUAUAC